rnacentral:rRNA from 1 species
GACGAACGCUGGCGGCGUGCUUAACACAUGCAAGUCGAACGGAAAGGCCCUGCUUUUGUGGGGUGCUCGAGUGGCGAACGGGUGAGUAACACGUGAGUAACCUGCCCUUGACUUUGGGAUAACUUCAGGAAACUGGGGCUAAUACCGGAUAGGAGCUCCUGCUGCAUGGUGGGGGUUGGAAAGUUUCGGCGGUUGGGGAUGGACUCGCGGCUUAUCAGCUUGUUGGUGGGGUAGUGGCUUACCAAGGCUUUGACGGGUAGCCGGCCUGAGAGGGUGACCGGCCAACAUGGGACUGAGAUACGGGCCAGACUCCUACGGGAGGCAGAAGUGGGGAAUAUUGCACCAUUGGCGGAAGCCUGAUUCAGCAACGCCGCGUGCGGGAUGACGGCCUUCGGGUUGUAAACCGCUUUCGCCUGUGACGAAGCGUGAGUGACGGUAAUGGGUAAAGAAGCACCGGCUAACUACGUG